GAGUUUGAUCCUGGCUCAGGACGAACGCUGGCGGCGUGCCUAAUACAUGCAAGUCGAGCGAAGGAUAGGUUACGAGCCUUCGGGCGAGGGACCUAUUACUUAGCGGCGAACGGGUGAGUAACGCGUGGGCAACCUGCCCCCCAGACUGGGAUAACAGCUCGAAAGGGCUGCUAAUACCGGAUGAGCCUCUAGUGCCGCAUGGUGCUGGAGGGAAAGCGGUUCAGCGCUGGGGGAUGGGCCCGCGUCCCAUUAGCUAGUUGGUGAGGUAACGGCUCACCAAGGCGACGAUGGGUAGCCGGCCUGAGAGGGUGGACGGCCACACUGGGACUGAGACACGGCCCAGACUCCUACGGGAGGCAGCAGUAGGGAAUAUUGCGCAAUGGGGGGAACCCUGACGCAGCGACGCCGCGUGAGCGAAGAAGGCCUUCGGGUCGUAAAGCUCUGUCCUAUGGGAAGAAGGAGACGGUACCAUAGGAGGAAGCCCCGGCUAACUACGUGCCAGCAGCCGCGGUAAUACGUAGGGGGCGAGCGUUGUCCGGAAUUACUGGGCGUAAAGGGUGCGUAGGCGGAUAUGCAAGUCCGAUGUGAAAGACUUCGGCUUAACCGAGGAGCUGCAUUGGAAACUGCAUAUCUAGAGUGCAGGAGAGGGAAGCGGAAUUCCUAGUGUAGCGGUGAAAUGCGUAGAUAUUAGGAGGAACACCAGUGGCGAAGGCGGCUUCCUGGACUGUAACUGACGCUGAGGCACGAAAGCUGGGGGAGCAAACAGGAUUAGAUACCCUGGUAGUCCCAGCCGUAAACGAUGGGUACUAGGUGUUGCUGCUGUUAAGGCGGCAGUGCCGGAGCUAACGCAAUAAGUACCCCGCCUGGGGAGUACGGCCGCAAGGCUGAAACUCAAAGGAAUUGACGG
rnacentral:rRNA from 1 species